UGCNAUACAUGCAAGUCGAGCGGACCGACGGNNGCUUGCUCCCUUAGGUCAGCGGCGGACGGGCNNAGUAACACGUGGGUAACCUGCCUGUAAGACUGGGAUAACUCCGGGAAACCGGGGCUAAUACCGGAUGCUUGAUUGAACCGCAUGGUUCAAUCAUAAAAGGUGGCUUUUAGCUACCACUUACAGAUGGACCCGCGGCGCAUUAGCUAGUUGGUGAGGUAACGGCUCACCAAGGCGACGAUGCGUAGCCGACCUGAGAGGGUGAUCGGCCACACUGGGACUGAGACACGGCCCAGACUCCUACGGGAGGCAGCAGUAGGGAAUCUUCCGCAAUGGACGAAAGUCUGACGGAGCAACGCCGCGUGAGUGAUGAAGGUUUUCGGAUCGUAAAACUCUGUUGUUAGGGAAGAACAAGUACCGUUCGAAUAGGGCGGNACCUUGACGGUACCUAACCAGAAAGCCACGGCUAACUACGUGCCAGCAGCCGCGGUAAUACGUAGGUGGCAAGCGUUGUCCGGAAUUAUUGGGCGUAAAGCGCGCGCAGGCGGUUUCUUAAGUCUGAUGUGAAAGCCCCCGGCUCAACCGGGGAGGGUCAUUGGAAACUGGGGAACUUGAGUGCAGAAAANGAGAGUGNAAUU
rnacentral:rRNA from 1 species